GUGCCAGCAGCCGCGGUAAUACGGAGGGUGCGAGCGUUAAUCGGAAUUACUGGGCGUAAAGCGCAUGCAGGCGGCCUGUUAAGUCAGAUGUGAAAGCCCGGGGCUUAACCUCGGAAUUGCAUUUGAAACUGGCAGGCUAGAGUCUUGUAGAGGGGGGUAGAAUUUCAGGUGUAGCGGUGAAAUGCGUAGAGAUCUGAAGGAAUACCAGUGGCGAAGGCGGCCCCCUGGACAGAUACUGACACUCAGAUGCGAAAGCGUGGGGAGCAAACAGGAUUAGAUACCCGAGUAGUCC
rnacentral:rRNA from 1 species